rnacentral:rRNA from 1 species
AUUGAACGCUGGCGGCAGGCCUAACACAUGCAAGUCGAACGAGCGGCGGACGGGUGAGUAAUGUAUGGGGAACUGCCUGAUAGAGGGGGAUAACUACUGGAAACGGUGGCUAAUACCGCAUACUAUCAGAUGAACCCAUAUGGGAUUAGCUAGUUGGUGGGGUAAAGGCUCACCAAGGCGACGAUCCCUAGCUGGUCUGAGAGGAUGAUCAGCCACACUGGAACUGAGACACGGUCCAGACUCCUACGGGAGGCAGCAGUGGGGAAUAUUGCACAAUGGGCGCAAGCCUGAUACAGCCAUGCCGCGUGUAUGAAGAAGGCCUUCGGGUUGUAAAGUACUUUCAGCGGGGAGGCGUUACCCGCAGAAGAAGCACCGGCUAACUCCGUGCCAGCAGCCGCGGUAAUUC